rnacentral:lncRNA from 1 species
GAAUAUGUAAAUUAAAUAAUUUAAUCUAUAAAUACAUCUAAUCAAAUUAUUAAACCCUACAAUUAGGAUCUAUAACAUGUCAUAUUGUAUUUAUAAAUCAGAAAAUAAAAGAUUUGGUAUUGAUCAAAUCAAUAUCCUAGAUAUGAAAUAGUUUUAGAUCUAAAAUCUAGAUCAUAUCUAGAUAAAAGAAGAGAUCAGAUCUCUUACCUUCAUGCG